AACAGGACUUAGAAAAUCCAUCCCAGUUUUUUAAGAUUUGGCACCAACCAUGAAGCUGUGAUCUACUGUUCACAGUGUCCAGAAAAACUGACUUUUCAAAGAUUUACUUGGCAAAUAUCCACCUUCAAAUUUCUUUGCACUGCUACUGCAUGACUAUUUUGUCCCAGGCAGCUCCUAUAUAAUCCUGCUUAAUAUAAAGAUCAUCCUAACAAGAAAAUAAC